rnacentral:rRNA from 1 species
GCUCGAGUGGCGAACGGGUGAGUAACACGUGAGUAACCUGCCCUUGACUUUGGGAUAACUUCAGGAAACUGGGGCUAAUACCGGAUAGGAGCUCCUGCUGCAUGGUGGGGGUUGGAAAGUUUCGGCGGUUGGGGAUGGACUCGCGGCUUAUCAGCUUGUUGGUGGGGUAGUGGCUUACCAAGGCUUUGACGGGUAGCCGGCCUGAGAGGGUGACCGGCCACAUUGGGACUGAGAUACGGCCCAG